rnacentral:rRNA from 1 species
UAUUGCGCAAUGGGCGAAAGCCUGACGCAGCGACGCCGCGUGGGUGAAGAAGCGCCUCGGCGCGUAAAGCCCUGUCAGCAGGGAAGAAAAUGACGGUACCUGAAGAAGAAGCCCCGGCUAAAUACGUGCCAGCAGCCGCGGUAAUACGUAGGGGGCAAGCGUUAUCCGGAUUUACUGGGUGUAAAGGGGGCGCAGACGGCGAUGCAAGCCAGGAGUGAAAGCCCGGGGCCCAACCCCGGGACUGCUCUUGGAACUGCGUGGCUGGAGUGCAGGAGGGGCAGGCGGAAUUCCUGGUGUAGCGGUGAAAUGCGUAGAUAUCAGGAGGAACACCGGUGGCGAAGGCGGCCUGCUGGACUGCAACUGACGUUGAGGCCCGAAAGCGUGGGGAGCAAACAGG